GGGGCUAUAGCUCAGCUGGGGAGAGCGCUUGCAUGGCAUGCAAGAGGUCAGCGGUUCGAUCCCGCUUAGCUCCACCA
rnacentral:tRNA from 4 species